rnacentral:rRNA from 1 species
CCUACGGGAGGCAGCAGUAAGGAAUAUUGGUCAAUGGACGAAAGUCUGAACCAGCCAUGCCGCGUGAAGGAUUAAGGCCCUCUGGGUUGUAAACUUCUUUUAUCUGGGACGAAAAAAAGGGUAUUCUUACUCACUUGACGGUACCAGAGGAAUAAGCACCGGCUAACUCCGUGCCAGCAGCCGCGGUAAUACGGAGGGUGCAAGCGUUAUCCGGAUUUACUGGGUUUAAAGGGUGCGUAGGUGGGCUUGUAAGUCAGUGGUGAAAUCUCCGGGCUUAACCCGGAAACUGCCAUUGAUACUAUAGGUCUUGAAUUAUCUGGAGGUAAGCGGAAUAUGUCAUGUAGCGGUGAAAUGCUUAGAUAUGACAUAGAACACCAAUUGCGAAGGCAGCUUACUACGGAUAUAUUGACACUGAGGUACGAAAGCGUGGGGAUCAAACAGGAUUAGAUACCCUGGUAGUCCACGCCCUAAACGAUGGAUACUCGACAUCAGCGAUACACUGUUGGUGUCUGAGCGAAAGCAUUAAGUAUCCCACCUGGGAAAUACGAUCGCAAGAUUGAAACUCAAAGGAAUUAGACGG